rnacentral:rRNA from 1 species
ACUCGAGGCUCAACCUCGAGCUUGCAUCGGGUACGGGCAGACUAGAGUGCGGUAGGGGAGACUGGAAUUCCUGGUGUAGCGGUGGAAUGCGCAGAUAUCAGGAGGAACACCAGAUGGCGAAGGCAGGUCUCUGGGCCGCAACUGACGCUGAGGAGCGAAAGCAUGGGGAGCGAACAGGAUUAGAUACCCUGGUAGUCCAUGCCGUAAACGUUGGGCACUAGGUGUGGGGCUCAUUCCACGAGUUCCGUGCCGCAGCAAACGCAUUAAGUGCCCCGCCUGGGGAGUACGGCCGCAAGGCUAAAACUCAAAGGAAUUGACGGGGGCCCGCACAAGCGGCGGAGCAUGCGGAUUAAUUCGAUGCAACGCGAAGAACCUUACCAAGGACUUGACAUGCACGGGAAGCCACCAGAGAUGGUGGUCUCUUU